GAUGAACGCUAGCUACAGGCUUAACACAUGCAAGUCGAGGGGCAGCAUUAUCGAAGCUUGCUUUGAUAGAUGGCGACCGGCGCACGGGUGAGUAACGCGUAUCCAACCUGCCCAUGACUCAGGGAUAACCUUCCGAAAGGGAGCCUAAUACCUGAUGUUCUGCGACGAUGGCAUCAGAAUUGCAGUAAAGAUUCAUCGGUCAUGGAUGGGGAUGCGUGGGAUUAGGUAGACGGCGGGGUAACGGCCCACCGUGCCAUCGAUCCUUAGGGGUUCUGAGAGGAAGGUCCCCCACACUGGUACUGAGACACGGACCAAACUCC
rnacentral:rRNA from 1 species